rnacentral:rRNA from 1 species
UACGAAGGGGGCUAGCGUUGUUCGGAUUUACUGGGCGUAAAGCGCACGUAGGCGGAUCGUUAAGUGAGGGGUGAAAUUCCAGGGCUCAACCCUGGAACUGCCUUUCAUACUGGCGAUCUUGAGUCCGGAAGAGGUGAGUGGAACUCCUAGUGUAGAGGUGGAAUUCGUAGAUAUUAGGAAGAACACCUGAGGCGAAGGCGGGAUGCUGGGCCGACACUGACGCUGAGGCGCGAAAGCCAGGGGAGCGAACAGG